UUGAACGCUGGCGGCAGGCCUCACACAUGCAAGUCGAGCGGAUGAAGGGAGCUUGCUCCUGGAUUCAGCGGCGGACGGGUGAGUAAUGCCUAGGAAUCUGCCUGGUAGUGGGGGAUAACGUCCGGAAACGGGCGCUAAUACCGCAUACGUCCUGAGGGAGAAAGUGGGGGAUCUUCGGACCUCACGCUAUCAGAUGAGCCUAGGUCGGAUUAGCUAGUUGGUGGGGUAAAGGCCUACCAAGGCGACGAUCCGUAACUGGUCUGAGAGGAUGAUCAGUCACACUGGAACUGAGACACGGUCCAGACUCCUACGGGAGGCAGCAGUGGGGAAUAUUGGACAAUGGGCGAAAGCCUGAUCCAGCCAUGCCGCGUGUGUGAAGAAGGUCUUCGGAUUGUAAAGCACUUUAAGUUGGGAGGAAGGGCAGUAAGUUAAUACCUUGCUGCUUUGACGUUACCAACAGAAUAAGCACCGGCUAACUUCGUG
rnacentral:rRNA from 1 species